GAUGGUUCCAUCAUGGCGUCAAUGCAGAAACGACUGCAGAAAGAACUGUUGGCUUUGCAAAAUGACCCACCUCCUGGAAUGAUUUAAAAUGAAAAGAGUGUUCAGAAUUCAAUUACACAGUGGAUUGUAGACAUGGAAGGUGCACCAGGUACCUUAUAUGAAGGGGAAAAAUUUCAACUUCUAUUUAAGUUUGGUAGUCGAUAUCCUUUUGACUCUCCUCAGGUCAUGUUUACUGGUGAAAAUAUUCCCGUUCAUCCUCGUGUUUAUAGCAACGGUCAUAUCUGUUUAUCCAUUCUAACAGAAGACUGGUCCCCAGCGCUCUCAGUCCAGUCAGUUUGUCUUAGCAUUAUUAGCAUGCUUUCCAGCUGCAAAGAAAAGAGACGACCACCAGAUAAUUCUUUUUAUGUUCGAACAUGUAACAAGAAUCCAAAGAAAACAAAAUGGUGGUAUCAUAAUGAUACUUGUUGAUGCCACUGUUACCAUCCUCCUAGCAGAAGAUAGUCCUACUGAGAAAAUGAGCACUUUGAUCAUUCAGUCUUUGAACUUUAACCUUUGACUGGAAGUGACCUAUAGGCAAUGAAGACUAC